rnacentral:rRNA from 1 species
CCCUUAGAUGUUCUGGGCCGCACGCGCGCUACACUGACGAUGUCAACGAGUCUCUCCUUGGCCGAAAGGUCUGGGUAAUCUUCUGAAACAUCGUCGUGCUGGGGAUAGAUCAUUGCAAUUUUUGAUCUUCAACGAGGAAUGCCUAGUAAACGCAAGUCAUCAGCUUGCAUUGAUUACGUCCCUGCCCUUUGUACACACCGCCCGUCGCUCCUACCGAUUGAACGUUCCGAUGAAUACCAUGGAUUGAGAGUCUGAAUGGGUUCGCCUAUUUCUGCUUCUCGAGAAGUGGAGUAAAUCUUAGCGUUUAGAGGAAGGAGAAGUCGUAACA